rnacentral:rRNA from 1 species
AUGCAAGUCGAACGGAAAGGCCCCUUCGGGGGUGCUCGAGUGGCGAACGGGUGAGUAACACGUGGGUGAUCUGCCCUGCACUUUGGGAUAAGCCUGGGAAACUGGGUCUAAUACCGAAUAGGACCAUGGGAUGCAUGUCUUGUGGUGGAAAGCUUUUGCGGUGUGGGAUGGGCCCGCGGCCUAUCAGCUUGUUGGUGGGGUGAUGGCCUACCAAGGCGACGACGGGUAGCCGGCCUGAGAGGGUGUCCGGCCACACUGGGACUGAGAUACGGCCCAGACUCCUACGGGAGGCAGCAGUGGGGAAUAUUGCACAAUGGGCGCAAGCCUGAUGCAGCGACGCCGCGUGGGGGAUGACGGCCUUCGGGUUGUAAACCCCUUUCAGUACCGACGAAGCGUAAGUGACGGUAGGUACAGAAGAAGCACCGGCCAACUACG